GCUUUUUUCAGCUUUUGGGGCCUUGGGAUUUACUGUCUUUGCCGUUUCCAGUUGCAGCCAGCCACUGUUUUGAGCUAUUGAGCUGUGAUAAAGAAAUGCUGCCAUGCAGCACAUGCAACCUUACAAAAGACUGAACAGUUUUGCUUUUUAUUAUUAAGUUAUAGUAAGAAGUUGUUCCUAUGAGCCCUGAAUUACCUUAAAAAUGGCCAUUAGAAAUUUGAGUUAGAAGUUAGGUUUAGGUAUGGGUGAACUUGAAAUGAACCUUCAAUUUAAUGAAUGUCAGUUAAUAUUGUGUGCUUUCAAGUCCUCUAAGCUGUUCUCUGUGUAUUCCCUUACCACACAAAGCUAGGUCACAGAAGCGAGUAUGUUGUGCCCUUGGCCUACGUGUGUGAACUCCGGGGGUCUGAGGAAGGUGACUCCUACAGUGUUCAACCAGCCAAGCAAGGGGGAAAGAAGUUCCACCGUAGCAUCACCAUGACAGUGGAAAUGUUGAAUACAAUCUACCUGACAGACGCAAGCAGAUGCAACUCAUUGGUGGAGUAAAAAGAAAGGUGAUGUUAAACUACACAGUUCUAUUUCUUCAGGAUAGAAAUUCCCGCUGUGGACUGGCACUGUCUCUGUCUCCAUAACUUUACAGGGUAUAAAUGGUUUUGAGCACCGUCAGCGGAAUGGCCUCUGCUUGUUGAACCACAUCCAGGAGUAAAGUCAUCAGCCAAAUUGCAUUGGAGCUGAGGGUGAGCCACGGAGCGAGAAGAUUGGAAGACCUUGUCUGAGAAUCGUCUCAGACGAUCUUUGAGAGGUGCAUUGAAAACAUGUAACCGAGCAGAUGAAUGGGUGAAGAAAUUUGGUAUUAUGGAUAUUUGCCGAUGCAACAGGACAGGAUUAUUGCAAAAAAAUGUGUUGGAGCUUAGAGAUGUCUUUGACAUUCAUGUGACAUGUAUUACCGACGCUGAUCUACAAUCCUGAUUACUAUGCCUGCAUAUAAUAUACCACAAGAUGAAGAGGGAAGGCCAUUUGGUGGCAGUUACCUACCAAGUGAUUAGCUGGGAAUAAGUGCAAGAGGUGCCGCAGGGUACAAACCUCUGUGCUAGCUUAAAGACCUGCAGGAUAUUUUCAUUUAAAUAGUCCGACCUUCCACAAUGAAAGACAUAUGACACCCAGAAUGUUCUAUUCAGCAAGGGCUCCAAGAAAGUAGGUGGUUAAUGUGGUAUUCAGUCUACUGAAGUAAAAGUGCUAUGAUGGAAAACUACUUCAUUCCUAUUCUGUUUCUGUAUCCCGUAAUUUAUAGUUA